rnacentral:rRNA from 1 species
CGGUAAUACAGAGGGUGCAAGCGUUAAUCGGAAUUACUGGGCGUAAAGCGCGCGUAGGUGGUUCGUUAAGUUGGAUGUGAAAUCCCCGGGCUCAACCUGGGAACUGCAUUCAAAACUGACGAGCUAGAGUAUGGUAGAGGGUGGUGGAAUUUCCUGUGUAGCGGUGAAAUGCGUAGAUAUAGGAAGGAACACCAGUGGCGAAGGCGACCACCUGGACUGAUACUGACACUGAGGUGCGAAAGCGUGGGGAGCAAACAGGAUU